UCCCACUGGGAGGCCCGCACGAAGGGCUAUUAGCUCAGUGGUGUAGGUGCGAUGAUUUACUUCACGGGCGAGGUCUC
rnacentral:tRNA from 11 species